UACGAAGGGGGCUAGCGUUGCUCGGAAUCACUGGGCGUAAAGCGCACGUAGGCGGACUCUUAAGUCGGUGGUGAAAUCCUGGAGCUCAACUCCAGAACUGCCUUUGAUACUGAAGAUCUUGAGUUCGGGAGAGGUGAGUGGAACUGCGAGUGUAGAGGUGAAGUUCGUAGAUAUUCGCAAGAACACCAGUGGCGAAGGCGGCUCACUGGCCCGAUACUGACGCUGAGGCACGAAAGCGUGGGGAGCAAACAGG
rnacentral:rRNA from 1 species